UACGUAGGAGGCGAGCGUUGUCCGGAGUUACUGGGCGUAAAGGGUGCGCAGGCGGCGGUUCGCGUGGCGAGAUGAAAUCUCCUGGCUUACCUGGGAGGAUGGUCGCCAGACGGGAUCGCUUGAGGGUCGGAGAGGGGCGUGGAAUUCCGGGUGGAGCGGUGAAAUGCGUAGAGAUCCGGAGGAACACCGAAAGCGAAGGCAGUCUCCUGGCAAGUUUCUGACGCUCAGGUGCGAAAGCUAGGGGAGCGAACAGG
rnacentral:rRNA from 1 species